rnacentral:rRNA from 1 species
UACGUAGGGACCGAGCGUUAUCCGGAAUUAUUGGGCGUAAAGGGCUCGUAGGCGGUUUGUCGCGUCUGCCGUGAAAGUCCGGGGCUCAACUCCGGAUCUGCGGUGGGUACGGGCAGACUAGAGUGAUGUAGGGGAGACUGGAAUUCCUGGUGUAGCGGUGAAAUGCGCAGAUAUCAGGAGGAACACCGAUGGCGAAGGCAGGUCUCUGGGCAUUAACUGACGCUGAGGAGCGAAAGCAUGGGGAGCGAACAGG